CAAAUAAGGCUUCUUGUACAUGAGGUAUUUCGCUAGACAUACAAACUAUAUAGGGACUUCACUUUCAUGUGGAAAAAACAGGCUCUUUCCCCUCCCACCCCACAUACAAAGGUACACUUAGUAUGAUGCAUGUGGUCAAAGCUGCAGGCUGGGGAGGAGGAGCAAAAAGGGACCAUGCUUGGUUCACCUUUCUCCUGGCCUAAGUGGGCCUCUGCACUCUGCGCUGGGACACUGGGGAGCACACUAGAGGUAGUCCAUUGUGAGCUGAACAAAGGAUGCUCAUAGUACUCCUCAUCGGAAUUGCAAGGGUCAUCAUCAGGCACAGACACCGAGAUGGAGGGGGCUAGGAGCCUACGCCUCUCCCCGCUGGUGGCAGGUUCAUGGCUGGGGAACCUGUGUAGAGGACCCACUUGAUCCUCAGCCCCUUCAUCUACAAACAGACACACAGGAAGAAACUGCAGGGAGAACUGGACAAGACAGACACAAGAUCAGACGAACGAGACAAACACCUGCACAAGGACACAAUGGGCUACAGAACCAGCAGAGCGGGAUGGAGGGGAAUUAGCAAGACCAAGCUGAUGGAGGAUGGGAGAGAGUGAAUGUUUCAUGCUUCAGCAGCCACUGAAUUUACACUAUGCCUUAGAAAAGAAAAAAUGAAGCUAUCAGAGCCUGAGGCAACCUUCAGACGGAAACCAUGAACUAGUGGGAGCUGAGUAAUCUUCUGGCCUGGGCAUUAUACAUAGAGAGCCAAAGAGAAAGGUUCUAAAAGAUGUUAACACCACAGUUAACUCUACUUCUUUUCAAGACUCUUGCCUUCUUUAUGACUACUCCUAUGAAGCCAUUUUCCUGGCUGCAGAGGUCCUGGGCUAUGACCUGCUCUAGAUUUCUGCUAGCGUCCCAAUUUAGGACCAUCUUCUGGACAGCACUCCAAGAGGCCUGAUAACCCCUGUCUUCUCCUGAGAACUAUUAGCAACAUGAAAAAAUCUUUUUUCAGGUAAGAGCUACAUUUUAAUUUUUCAUUGUUUAUUUUUUCUACUUCUUUAUU